rnacentral:rRNA from 1 species
CCUACGGGAGGCAGCAGUGGGGAAUAUUGCACAAUGGGGGAAACCCUGAUGCAGCGACGCCGCGUGAGUGAAGAAGUAUCUCGGUACGUAAAGCUCUAUCAGCAGGGAAGAAAAUGACGGUACCUGACUAAGAAGCCCCGGCUAACUUCGUGCCAGCAGCCGCGGUAACACGUAGGGGGCCAGCGUUAUCCGGAUUUACUGGGUGUAAAGGGAGCGUAGACGGCAGCACAAGUCUGGAGUGAAAGGCGGGGGCCCAACCCCCGGACUGCUCUGGAAACUGUGUAACUGGAGUGCAGGAGAGGCAGGCGGAAUUCCUAGUGUAGCGGUGAAAUGCGUAGAUAGUAGGAGGAACACCAGUGGCGAAGGCGGCCUGCUGGACUGUAACUGACGUUGAGGCUCGAAAGCGGGGGGAGCAAACAGGAUUAGAUACCCGAGUAGUC